GAUGUAGAACGUAGCGAAAUGCGAUACUUGGUGUGAAUUGCAGAAUCCCGUGAACCAUCGAGUCUUUGAACGCAAGUUGCGCCUCAAGCCAUUAGGUUGAGGGCACGUCUGCCUGGGCGUCACAUAUCGUUGCCUGAUGCCAGUUUCCUCGUGAUGGGUGACUGUGCAGGGCGAAUGAUGGCUUCCCGUGAGCAUUGUUGCCUCAUGGUUGGUUGAAAAUUGAGUCCUUGGUAGGGAGCGCCGUGAUAGAUGGUGGUUGAGUGACGAACGAGACCCAAUCAUGUGAGACCCCUACCGAAUUUGGCCUUCAUGACCCACAUGCGUCUUUGGAACGCUCAUGACGAGACCUCAGGUCAGGCGGGGCUACCCGCUGAGUUUAAGCAUAUCAAUAAGCGGAGGA
rnacentral:misc_RNA from 1 species